UAAUACGAAGGGGGCUAGCGUUGUUCGGAAUUACUGGGCGUAAAGGGCGCGUAGGCUGUGCUGUAAGUCAGGCGUGAAAGCCCCGGGCUCAACCUGGGAAUUGCGCUUGAUACUGCGGCGCUGGAAGGUGUGAGAGGAUGGCGGAAUUCCCAGUGUAGAGGUGAAAUUCGUAGAUAUUGGGAAGAACACCGGUGGCGAAGGCGGCCAUCUGGCCCACAAUUGACGCUGA
rnacentral:rRNA from 1 species